rnacentral:rRNA from 1 species
UACGGAGGGUGCAAGCGUUAUCCGGAUUCACUGGGUUUAAAGGGUGCGUAGGUGGGCUGGUAAGUCAGUGGUGAAAUCUCCAGGCUUAACUUGGAAACUGCCAUUGAUACUAUCAGUCUUGAAUGUUGUUGAGGUUUGCGGAAUGGGUCAUGUAGCGGUGAAAUGCAUAGAUAUGACCCGGAACACCUAUUGCGAAGGCAGCAGGCUAAACAAAUAUUGACGCUGAGGCUCGAAAGCGUGGGGAUCAAACAGG